rnacentral:rRNA from 1 species
UCCUGGCUCAGGAUGAACGCUGGCGGCGUGCCUAAUACAUGCAAGUCGAGCGAACGGACGAGAAGCUUGCUUCUCUGAUGUUAGCGGCGGACGGGUGAGUAACACGUGGAUAACCUACCUAUAAGACUGGGAUAACUUCGGGAAACCGGAGCUAAUACCGGAUAAUAUUUUGAACCGCAUGGUUCAAAAGUGAAAGACGGUCUUGCUGUCACUUAUAGAUGGAUCCGCGCUGCAUUAGCUAGUUGGUAAGGUAACGGCUUACCAAGGCAACGAUGCAUAGCCGACCUGAGAGGGUGAUCGGCCACACUGGAACUGAGACACGGUCCAGACUCCUACGGGAGGCAGCAGUAGGGAAUCUUCCGCAAUGGGCGAAAGCCUGACGGAGCAACGCCGCGUGAGUGAUGAAGGUCUUCGGAUCGUAAAACUCUGUUAUUAGGGAAGAACAUAUGUGUAAGUAACUGUGCACAUCUUGACGGUACCUAAUCAGAAAGCCACGGCUAACUACGUGCCAGCAGCCGCGGUAAUACGUAGGUGGCAAGCGUUAUCCGGAAUUAUUGGGCGUAAAGCGCGCGUAGGCGGUUUUUUAAGUCUGAUGUGAAAGCCCACGGCUCAACCGUGGAGGGUCAUUGGAAACUGGAAAACUUGAGUGCAGAAGAGGAAAGUGGAAUUCCAUGUGUAGCGGUGAAAUGCGCAGAGAUAUGGAGGAACACCAGUGGCGAAGGCGACUUUCUGGUCUGUAACUGACGCUGAUGUGCGAAAGCGUGGGGAUCAAACAGGAUUAGAUACCCUGGUAGUCCACGCCGUAAACGAUGAGUGCUAAGUGUUAGGGGGUUUCCGCCCCUUAGUGCUGCAGCUAACGCAUUAAGCACUCCGCCUGGGGAGUACGACCGCAAGGUUGAAACUCAAAGGAAUUGACGGGGACCCGCACAAGCGGUGGAGCAUGUGGUUUAAUUCGAAGCAACGCGAAGAACCUUACCAAAUCUUGACAUCCUUUGACAACUCUAGAGAUAGAGCC